rnacentral:rRNA from 1 species
AGUGGACGCUGGCGGUAGGCCUAACACAUGCAAGUCGAACGGCAGCGCAGUAAGAGCUUGCUCUUACGGGUGGCGAGUGGCGGACGGGUGAGGAAUACAUCGGAAUCUACUUUUUCGUGGGGGAUAACGUAGGGAAACUUACGCUAAUACCGCAUACGACCUACGGGUGAAAGCAGGGGAUCUUCGGACCUUGCGCGAUUGAAUGAGCCGAUGUCGGAUUAGCUAGUUGGCGGGGUAAAGGCCCACCAAGGCGACGAUCCGUAGCUGGUCUGAGAGGAUGAUCAGCCACACUGGAACUGAGACACGGUCCAGACUCCUACGGGAGGCAGCAGUGGGGAAUAUUGGACAAUGGGCGCAAGCCUGAUCCAGCCAUACCGCGUGGGUGAAGAAGGCCUUCGGGUUGUAAAGCCCUUUUGUUGGGAAAGAAAAGCAGCAGGUUAAUACCCCGCUGUUCUGACGGUACCCAAAGAAUAAGCACCGGCUAACUUCGUG